CACGGAGUUAGCCGAUCCUUAUUCCUACAGUACCGUCAAGCUCCCUCACGAGGGAGUGUUUCUUCCUGUAUAAAAGCAGUUUCCACACCAUAGAUGCUUCAUCCUGCACGCGGCAUGGCUGGUUCAGGCUUGCGCCCAUUGACCAAUAUUCCUCACUGCUGCCUCCCGUAGGAGUCUGGUCCGUGUCUCAGUACCAGUGUGGGGGAUCUCCCUCUCAGGACCCCUACCAUCAUCGCCUUGGUAAGCCGUUACCUUACCAACUAGCUAAUGGGACGCAUGCUCAUCUUUUACCGUUGUGACUUUAGCUGCUCGGCGAUGCCGCCCUGCAGCGCUAUGGGGCAUUAAUCCAAAUUUCUCUGGGCUAUUCCCCCUGUAAAAGGCAGAUUGCAUACGCGUUACGCACCCGUGCGCCGGUCUCAAAAUAGCAAGCUAUUUCUACCCCUCGACUUGCAUGUGUUAAGCCUGCGCUAGCGUUCA
rnacentral:rRNA from 1 species